rnacentral:rRNA from 1 species
UGAGCAAUCUGCCCUUCUCAUCGGAAUAAGCGUUGGAAACGACGUCUAAUGCCGAAUACGACCUCCUUUCGCAUGAUCGGAGGUGGAAAGCUCCGGCGGAGAAGGAUGAGCUCGCGGCCUAUCAGCUAGUUGGUGUGGUAAUGGCCCACCAAGGCGACGACGGGUAGCCGGCCUGAGAGGGUGACCGGCCACGUGGGACUGAGACACGGCCCAGACCUCCGUACGGGAGGNAGCG